UACGUAGGGGGCAAGCGUUGUCCGGAAUUAUUGGGCGUAAAGCGCGCGCAGGCGGCUAUUUAAGUCUUAUGUAUAAACCCAAGGCUCAACCUUGGAUCGCAUGGGAAACUGGGUGGCUUGAGUGUAGGAGAGGAAAGUGGAAUUCCACGUGUAGCGGUGAAAUGCGUAGAUAUGUGGAGGAACACCAGUGGCGAAGGCGACUUUCUGGCCUAUAACUGACGCUGAGGCGCGAAAGCGUGGGGAGCAAACAGG
rnacentral:rRNA from 1 species